rnacentral:tRNA from 1 species
GGGGCCAUAGUUCAAUUGGUAGAACGCCUGCUUUGCAUGUAGGAGACUAGGAGUUCAAAUCUCCUUGGUUCCAC